CGAGACCCGCGUGGCAGCAGCGGUGCCCAGCGUGGGGAGCGGAGGGAGCGCGCAGGCUCCUCGGGGCGGUCCUCGAGCCUGACUGGAGCCCGGGUCCUGGCCCAAACUCAGCCGGCCCUGAGGGGUUGAGGGACCGGGACCGCGGGCGCGACCGCCCCGGGCGCCUCCUCCCCGGCCGGCACCGCGAGGCGCUCUCCGCGCCAGUUCUGCCCCGGGCCCCGCCGCGCUCUCCCGACCCGCCCUCCGCUUCCCAGGACCUUGCUGAGCCCGGCGCACUGCGCGGGAGGGCGCGACAGUGCUGCCCCAGCUGUGCCCGGGACAUCGCCUGCGCCCCGAGCCCCGGUCGCCGGGGUGGUGCGCCCGCGCUCGGUGCCACGUCGGAACUGCCCGGAGCGCGCGGUGAUGGCGCGGGACCCUCCUCCCGGGUCCCGGCGAGCGGAGGAGGGCGGAGCGGGCCCGGGCCGCUGAGCCCCUGGGUCCCCGCCGCGAGGCGCCGGGCUGCUCAGCAUCCUCCCCUCCGCGGGAGCCGGGCAGGGGCACACGCGUCGCCCUCCAGUGGGGGCUCCUGGCCGGCGAGCAGCCCCGAGGACGCUGCGCGGGAGGCCCGUCCGGGAGCGCACACGAGGGCACCCAGCGCUACGGCGGUCGGAGGGGCCGCCCGGCCUCCGGUCUAUGGGAAAGCUCCACUGCGGUGCACCCGGCUUGGUGCGGAGCCUGCGCCGACAGCGUGUGAGGCGCUCGGGCUUCCGCGCGUAACCCCCGGGCGCGGCGGAGCCUACCUUGCUCAGCUGUGCAUGCAGCCGUCCUCAGCUGCCUGCGCGGCCCGGCGGGGCGGGAGCAGUGUCCAGGGCCGAGGUGAUGGAGCUCAGAUGGACUUGAGACGGUCGGCCAGAAAGCAGAGGAAAUUUACAAACAACAUUUAAAAAGACGGAACUCCUCAACGCACACUCGCACACUUUCCUUCGCCAAGGAGCGGCCGCGGCCUCCGCCUCUUGGGGGCCAGCAGGAAGGCAGCGGUCUGGCUAGUCCCGCGAGCCCAGGGGUCUCCCCCGCUGCACUCCUCCCACGCCCGGACGGACCUGGCCUGUCCCCGCCGUGCCCGUGGGCCUCCCCGCCUCUGUGACGCACCGUGGACAGCAGGUGGCAGUGUUUGGAAGGAGAUGCGAACGGGAGAGCCCGCGACUUUUCUUUUUUCCUGGGGUGGGGUGGAGAUUGCUUGGCUCCGACGAUUGCCAACCUGUGAGACCCCAGAGGCUUCGAAGCUUCGAGCUUCCAGCCUGGAGCAGCGUUGUGCAGUGCUGUGUCUUAGUACCCUGCGAGAGUCCCGAUGCUCAUGGCUCAAGCAACGAGGACACUCAAUUACAGGGAAACUGUCACAUGCAAAAAAGAGUUCUAGCAGCAAGAACAGGAAUAUGAGCAGCGGUCCUGUCACGCGAAGUAUGACUACAGGAAAGAGUAGGACUGUGAACAGCACGGACUUCCCAACUCCUCUUCGCCUUGCAUGUUCAGGUAGUUUAAAAGUCUUGAUUGUGGUCGUGAUUAAGUAUCCAUGGUUGACUCCAUUAUGGUCAGAAGACACAUUCUGUAUGUUUUUAUGUAUGUUAUCCAG
ensembl:lncRNA